GGGGAAUUUUGGACAAUGGGCGGAAGCCUGAUCCAGCCAUGCCGCGUGAGUGAAGAAGGCCUUCGGGUUGUAAAGCUCUUUCGGCGGGGAAGAAAUUGCACGGGUUAAUACCCUGUGUAGAUGACGGUACCCGAAUAAGAAGCACCGGCUAACUACGUGCCAGCAGCCGCGGUAAUACGUAGGGUGCGAGCGUUAAUCGGAAUUACUGGGCGUAAAGCGUGCGCAGGCGGUUUGGUAAGUCAGAUGUGAAAUCCCCGGGCUCAACCUGGGAACUGCAUUUGAGACUGCCAGGCUGGAGUUUGGCAGAGGGGGGUGGAAUUCCACGUGUAGCAGUGAAAUGCGUAGAGAUGUGGAGGAACACCGAUGGCGAAGGCAGCCCCCUGGGCCAAUACUGACGCUCAUGCACGAAAGCGUGGGGAGCAAAC
rnacentral:rRNA from 1 species